rnacentral:lncRNA from 1 species
GCAGCAGGGAACCCGUCGCCUUUGUUCUGGAGGUCAUGCUGCUGGAGAUGGCAAAUAUUGACAUACAUGGAGUGUAUCCCAGAGGAUUAUGCCACGCGGUAUACAAAAUAAAUACGGAAGAAAUAAUCCUCAAUCAAUCAGAGGUUUCUCCACCACAGCAUGAUCCCAAACCCAUUGAAAUCCAGCAUGUCUCUACGCUGUAUAAGCAGCUUCCUCAGUUUUCUCCAAACUACUUUCAGUCCUCUCCGUUACAGUAAGAUUGUCCUUGCUAUAGAGACUACUGACUUUUUCCUACGUGUGUCAAGGCUGAUCUUUCUGCUGCCCUUCUGCUUCACUUCACUGAAUCUGUGGUGAGACACUAAAGCUCAUUCUUCUUACACUGAGAAUUACUCCCCAG